rnacentral:rRNA from 1 species
UACGAAGGGGCGAGCGUUGUUCGGAAUCACUGGGCGUAAAGGGCGCGUAGGCGGGAUGGCAAGUCGGUCGUGAAAUCCUCGGCUCAACCGAAGAACGUCGGCCGAUACUGCCGUUCUUGAGGGAUGCAGAGGAGAUUGGAAUUCCCGGUGUAGCGGUGAAAUGUGUAGAGAUCGGGAGGAACACCGGUGGCGAAGGCGGGUCUCUGGGCAUCUCCUGACGCUGAGGCG